CAGCAGCCGCGGUAAUACAGAGGUCCCAAGCGUUGUUCGGAUUCACUGGGCGUAAAGGGUGCGUAGGUGGCGAGGUAAGUCGGAUGUGAAAGCUCGGAGCUCAACUCCGAAAUGGCAUUGGAAACUACCUUGCUUGAGGAUUGAAGGGGGGACUGGAAUGCUUGGUGUAGCAGUGAAAUGCGUAGAUAUCAAGCGGAACACCAGUGGCGAAGGCGAGUCCCUGGACAACUCCUGACACUGAGGCACGAAAGCUAGGGGAGCAAACAGGAUUAGAUACCCUGGUAGUCCUAGCCGUAAACGGUGCACGUUUGCUGUAAAAGGAAUCGACCCCUUUUGUGGCGUAGCCAACGCGUUAAACGUGCCGCCUGGGAAGUACGGUCGCAAGAUUAAAACUCAAAGGAAUUGACGG
rnacentral:rRNA from 1 species